GUUUUGGUAGCUCAAGCAUAGAGCAUAACACUGAAGAUGUUAAGGUAAUUAUUCUAAAUUCUGAAACA
rnacentral:tRNA from 1 species